GAGAGACGGUAUUGAACUGGCCCAGUGAGCACUUCGCCCUGCACUGUUAUGUCAUGCUGGGUUCUAGGACGUGAAGGAGAGUUUGACACUGGCACUGGAGUAGCCCUCGUCACUCCCAAUACUCUGCAGGCUGCUGUGGUCAUCGAUGUCGCUGAUGCUGGUGGUACUGAUGUUGUCCACUUCUCCAUGGGAGAACUCUGUGCUUUCCACAUCCACUUCAAUCUCCUCUGCCGAGGGAAGAGGAAAGGAAAGGAAGGAGCGUCAACAAUCUGUGUGCGCACUUGCAAGAGUCAGGGUCACUCAGCGGAGCUAUCAGUGACCUACGGGGACCAGGGACUCUUCCUCGGAGGGCAAUCCAGGGACUCUUCCUCGGAGGGCAAUCCGGGGCUCUUAAUUUAGGGAGCAAGUUUACUAAACCCUUCGACGCCAGCCCGUCUGGACCUCCCACUGACAGCACCGGGCCGAUUUGGGAAUUAGUACUUAAUAUUAAAUCCCAACCCAAGUGGUUUAACACCAUCUGUUUUACAUUAAACCAAAAACUAAUUCCCA
rnacentral:lncRNA from 1 species